rnacentral:rRNA from 1 species
CCUACGGGCGGCAGCAGUGGGGAAUAUUGCACAAUGGGGGGAACCCUGAUGCAGCAACGCCGCGUGGGUGAAGAAGUACUUCGGUAUGUAAAGCCCUGUCAGCAGGGAAGAAAAUGACGGUACCUGACCAAGAAGCCCCGGCUCACUACGAGCCAGCAGCCGCGGUACUACGUAGGGGGCAAGCGUUAUCCGGAUGUACUGGGUGUAAAGGGAGCGUAGACGGCAAGGCAAGUCUGGAGUGAAAGCCCGUGGCUCAACCACGGGACUGCUUUGGAAACUGUGUUGCUGGAGUGCAGGAGGGGUAAGCGGAAUUCCUAGUGUAGCGGUGAAAUGCGUAGAUAUUAGGAGGAACACCGGUGGCGAAGGCGGCUUACUGGACUGUAACUGACGUUGAGGCUCGAAAGCGUGGGGAGCAAACAGGAUUAGAUACCCGAGUAGUC